CAGCCUGUCAUCUUUGAUACCAUAAUUACCACUCUGGCAGUUUUCUCUUGACUUAUGAGAGAAGCUCCUUCUGUGUGGCUUCUGGAUGAUCUUCCUCACCUUUGUUUCCACUCUUUCCCUUCCUACUCUUUCUGAGCAAUACCAUUGGAAACAAACUCAGCUUAAUUUCCAUGGCUAGCAAAGCAUCACCCUUAUUUCAUCAAAAGGUAGCAUAUGUUAAGGUGCCAUGUAGCCACAUAGUGUGUGCCUGAUAGUGCAGAAUCCCUUAAAAACAAGGAUCUCUGUGAAUACAUCAAAACCUGACUAGGCUUAAUCUGUGCUUCCCCCUUUAGCUUGGGUACCUAAAUUUGACAUAAGAGCACUGACUUUCUGUAAAGCUCUUUCAGAGGAAGAGGAACAGAAAAUGCAGAGUUCAUUUCAAAGCUCUGUAUUCUCUUCCCCGUUCUUCAGAGUAGGUGUGUUGCCUGGUUGCUUGAUUUCAGUCACUUUUAACAGGGACCAACCUAUCUGUUUCCACCCUGGGACUGUCUUCUAAGGCAAACUAUCACCAAUGGAAGUAAAAUUUGUUUUUCCAGCGUUCUGGGUAAGAUUAUCUUCUAUGUUGGUUUUAUUUGUCUGAUGUGUUCAUAAAUGUUUGCCACCAAAGAACUCUUUGCAAGUUUUAUUUGAUUUUAUUACAUUAGUGCUAUUCUGUCCAACAAAAAGAAAAUACCCUCCAACAAUUUUAUAAACAAUGCAGAUAAAGGUGACUUCAAAGCAAACCAUGAGGCUUUUGCAUGGAGGAAUUAUAAAACAUAAACAGACCUUUGCUUUCCUAAUGUUUUUGAAUUGUUUCAUGGGUAUAGUCAGUAUUGACAACGUGAAACUAAACUAGUAUAUCAUGUAUCUAAACUAAAUAUGGUGACUUCCUUUGUGUGUGUUCUUUGAACUAUCAAAUCUUUUAAAGAUGCAACAAUAUUUGAAGUUGGAUGUAUGUUUGGAACAGUGGGAAAGGUGUAGUCCUUCUGUAGACUGGGAGAUGGAUCCUGUAAGGCAUGUUAUAGAGGCGGGAAGUUGUGCUCAGUCAUUGUGAACAAUAAUGUUGCUUGCUGAGGUUUCUGGAAGGUCAGUAAUGAUGUUAUAUCUGGGGGAAAAAAAAUAUUGAUAGCUAUGCUGACAAGUUGCAGGGCAGUGUUUGCCAUUAGGCUGGGGACAUUGGCUUCAUGAUUUAUAGUGCCCCCCCCCCCCCGAGUAACAUGAUGGAAAUGACCCCAAAGCCUUGUGACUCCCUUGCAGCUGAUCCUCAGUCAGGCAAGGUGCAGCGCUGGCUUUGGCCCAGACAGAGGUAGCUUCACUUUGACCAAAUAAAAGCUGAGGUCUUACUCUGCAGUGACCGUGUCAUGAUGGGAUGAAGUUGUGUUUUGUGAUCUCAUUCUGUGCCUGGUUUUACAGCAGGCUCACAGCAACUUUGAGCAGGUCUGAGCCUGCUCCCUAAGUGAUAAAGUAGCCUGGCUGGCAAAGAUUUGGUGAUCCUGCAUAAGCAUUUUCCUAUACUUUAGAGAGACCUGAACCUGGUCUGGCCUGGAAUCAGAAAGGUCUGGUAAGAGCAGCUGGCCCUGGGAGAUGUCCAAGAUCCCAGCAGUAAGUGCACAGGAACAGCUCCACCAUGCAGCAUGGUGAGGAGUCACUCAUGGAUGACACCUCUGUGAUAUCAGUCUGAGGUCAGAAAUUACAGGAGCAGAGAAAUCAAGGGCUCUGGUGCUUGGGUGAGAAAUACAAAAAAAGCUAUAUCAAAUUCAAAGAAAGAGCAGAGCAAGUUAUUUCUUAGUAGUUGUCUCCAAUAUGUCUCAUUAAAGUGUUCCUUUUCAUUAUGUAUCAGUAUCAGGUAUUGAGUACUUGCUGUUAUCAGUCAGAUCAAAGAGGAAGAGGACAUGUCUCUAAUAUUCAGAGUAAGGCCUAUAAGAAGUAGUUAGACACUUUGAUUCCUUAUGGCUAGGCAGUUAGAAAUUAAAGGCCAUUAGAUAGGCAGAAAAACCUUAGGAGUCUUGAAGUGGGUUUGCUUUAUGUAAUGAUUGUUAGAAAUACUCUGCUUGUGACAAACCCUGUAGCUAAAGCAGUUGGCUGUAAAUGAAGAAAAUGCUGCCAGAAUUAGAAGUCAAACAGAGCAAGAAAUGUAGGGGACUGUCUGUAAUUUGAGUGCUUCCUGCAAACCUGGAAGGAUAGUUUGCUGGCCCAUUUCUAACUCCUGUGCUCCUCUCUUUUGAAGAGGCAGGACCAAAUAACGUGUAUUUGUAGGAUGUAAUGUGCUUUUCACUUAUCUCAUGCAGAUCUUUGAGCUCUGAGUGGGAAGAUGCAGUUUAUUCAGAAGCAUAACCUUGUUCAAGUGAUCUUUGUGUGAACUUGCAGUGCGUUACCCUCAUAGCUGUGUCUGAUGGGAGGUAUCCUGACACAUCAUUAAAAUGCUGUUCUGAUAGCAGUAUUAAAAAAAAGAUUUUUAAGGAGUAGGUUGAAGUGUUCUGCUUGGGAAGUUGUGGAUCAAAUGGUUGAUAAUUUACAUCUGCUUCAAAGAAGAGUAGGUUUUUGCUGCUUUCAGCAAUAACCAGAAAUGCAGUGAAGCAAUUUGACGAUAUUUUAAGUCAUCCAGUAAUUUAACACUGGAUUACCAUUGAAAUCUCAUAAAAAUACUGAAGCCAUCUUACACUGUAUCAGAUGGAUUAAACAUGAUUCACUUAUUGCAUUAAAUUCCAGAGGGAUUAAUAAUGUCUGGGUCAUUGUUCCCUAGACUUAGAAAUUGAAAGGCCAGAGGGGCUCACAUGAAUAUUGUUCUUUCUACCCACUCUGUGUGGGUUGAAGAAAUGCUGGAUAUACCAGGAAUCAUCCUUAGAUUUUUUUUUUUCCCUUUGUUCAGCAAAUCUUCCAGAAAGAGAUCAAGUUCUUGACGUAAAGGGUGUCAGUAGUAACAAAUCUGCCAUGUUACAGGUAAAUUGUUGCAGUGAAUAAUGAGCCUUACUCUUGGAAGCAGUCUGCAGCUCUCUUCAGCUUCUUAAUGUUGUACCUUGUUUGUCCUGCUGGACCGAUAAGGUAUCUGUUUUCUAAGAAGCUGACUCUCCAUUCCAUUAGCAACUUCAAACUUAUUUUACUAUGAGAUGUGUUGAGGAAUGGUCAAUCUUUUAACUCAAGUUUUCGUGCAAUAUGACUUUAAUGUAUAGUGUGCUAAUGUUAUUGUUCCUAAUUUCGCACUAAACUGCCAUUAUUAAAUGAUGAUGUAACUGUGUAGAAAGAUGAGAUUUACAUGCCAAAGCCAAUUUUCCAUAGAGCUGCGUUGAUUGGUGUUGAUUGUGCCACUGUCUUUCAAUGCCUUAUUGAUUGUGUCCCAUGAUAACCUUUCCCUGAUGCUGCAAACUACUGAUGCCAGUCUGAUGGUUUGAUCAUCGCUUCAGUUAUCCCUUAACCUUUUUAAAUACUUCCAUUUUUAACCCUUUCCAGUUGUUAACAGCAGUCAUUGCAUCAGGGAACUUACUGGCACAUCUGCCCUUUGCUGCCAUGCGCAGGUUUUUAAUUGUGUGGCUGUUUACAUCUUUCAAUUACUGAUAGCAUGGAAGGUAUGUCAUUGUCACUGAGAUGUGAAUAUAGCAUCCUGCAUCUUUCUGAACACAAAGCAGAAGUAGUCAAAUUUGCUUUUCCUGAAUUGUUGGGUAGUUUUUAUUUGGAACUAUUGAAGUUACUGAAAUCUUCCAUUGGAAUGCUUGUUAUAUUUAGGGUGGUGAUCCUGUUGUUAGAAACCUUACCAAAGCUCUAUUUUUUUCUUCCAGCACUUGCAUUUAUGCAGUGGUAAUUUGUAUUCAUUGUUAUCAGUGCCCCUUUUGCCCAUCUGUUAUGCGCUGUGCGUUUGUUUUAAAGGUUUAUUUGCUGCUGCUGUUACAUUAAUUAACCCGGAUUAUUUAACUGAAAAAGCUUUCUUUCAUGACUGUGGCACAGUGAUUUUUGUAUUUUGACAGGUUAUAAAGUAUCCCUAGCGUAAUGGUUCACCUGUAUCCAGCAGAAGUCCAAUAUAACAUUAUCUGGAGAUACUCCCACAUCUUAACUGUUCUCUUACCUCACUUGAUGGAUUUCUAGCAGACCUUGUCCUCAUCUCAUUUUGUUUUUUGCUAGCAGUCCAGAUUCUGCUUUGCUUGUACAUGUGAUGUUCAUGGCUUUAUCUUAUGCACACUUACUCCUACAUAAGUGUGGUGUUUUUUUUAGCACUAUACUCCACCAUUGGUUUUAGCACCAAACCAUGGUUCUUACCAUAGUUUACUGUUACCAUUUUAACCUUUAAUAGAAGUAAGCUUCCUUUUAAGAAGGGAAUUCUGUUGAAAUUGUGAGCCCAGCCAUUGCAGUUGUAAGCAAGUAUUGUUUGCCCUUUAAGAAAUAAAAAUAAGCUAUUCAAAUAUCAACAAUACUGGCAAAGCACUGCCUUCUGUUGUCAGUGCUGCAGUGUACAAGUCACAAAUGCUUUGACAAUGCAUAAUGACAUGGGAAGGCCCUUGUUUGUCUGACAUGUGCAGUGUGCAGCUCACAGUGUAUAUGACCUUUGCAGGCUGUGGUUCUGCAAUGGCACAGUGAGAGAAAAGAGACCUGAACCUCAUGAGAUGGAGUUCAUGCUGUGGUUGGCUUUGGGGCCGACUCCAUACAGCAAUGGAGGGAAAGGGCAGUAGCUGAGGUCAAAAGUUUUUCACUUGUGAAACACUAGUAUAAUCUUACUAAGUGGUUGCUUCUCAGAAUUUUAAUCAUUUGCCAGGUUGAAGCAAUGUACAUAUAGAAAUUGGCUUUUCACUAUUUGAAAUAAGUGAUGUGUCAACAGAGUUGCUAUCAGAGCUGUCCCGUACCUUGCCUGGUGAGGGUUUGUAAGGAGAUUAAUGAGACCAUCUCAUGUGAACCGACUGCAUGAGAAAGAUUUGCAUCUCUGUGUUAAACUGUGCUUAGCAUGAAGGUGCUGUGGUAGCUGAGUGUCUACAGCAGAGAAUUUGCAGAAUGGCUUAGUGAAUGUAUUCAAAUGAAUUAUGGAAGUUACCAGAUUCCCAUGGAUAACAACUCCAUCCAUGUAUUAUGUAAGUGCAGCAUCCCAAACGGGAUCCAGUCCACCAAAGAGGAACCUGCUUGUAAAUGCUUUGGGGCAAGAGUAGUUCUUUUAUUUGGCGUCUUGUGGCUUAGUUAUGAGUGAUCCUACUUCACAGCAUGCUUUCAGUACAACAGGUAAGACAUGAAAUAAAAGAUACAGAGAAGGGCUAUGGAAUGAUCCAUCUGCAAUGACAAUAGAAACUAUUUCACUAGUCCCUAGUUUAAAUAUAAAGUUACUUGCAAAGAAUCUUCUGAUAUGAUAAUUACAUUAUUCAUACUGUUUUUCUGAAUUUCAAAACAAAGUGUGACCUUGAUUUCAAAGUAAAGAGCAUGAAAGCAUGCUGUGCUUAUUUUUCAUAAUUAAUCAUGUAUAAGCCAAUUUUAUGGCAAAAUAGAUAAAUGAGAUGUCAGCAUACUAGUUUGUAAAUACUUCAAGAUGUUAAUGUAGUUUGUAUCUUAGCUUUAAGAAAAUCCAGUGUUUUUCAGUUUCACUGCAGGGUAAGAGCACAGCAUGCUCUUAUCUGCUAAUUAUGCUCUUAUUUACACUGCAAUUAAGCUCUAAAUGGAUACACUGUAUCAGAUGUAUACAUUUUGUUCAGUUCAUAGAAUGACCAAGGUUGGAAAAUACCUCAGAUCAGCUAGUCCAUCUGUCCACCUACCACCACUAUUCUUCCACUAAACCAUAUCCCGCAGUGCAAUAUCGAAAUGUUUCUUGAACACCUCCAGGGAUGGUGACUCCAGCACCUUCCUGGGAAGCCCAUUCCAGUGCCUGACCACACUUCUGGGGAAUAAACUUUCCUAAUAUCCAACUUGAACCUCUUCUGGUGCAACUUGAGGUCUUUCCUUCUCAUUCUAUGUGCUAGUUAUGCAGUAGAAGAGGCUGACCUCAGCCUGUCACAACCUCCUUUCCGGCAGUUGUAGACAGCAAUAAGGUCUCUCUAAGCCUUCUUCAGACUGAUCAAUCCCAGUUCUCCCAGCUGCUCCUCAUAAGUCUUGUGUUCCAGAUGCCUCACUGGCUUUGUCUUCCUUCUCUUAACAUGCUCCUGGGCCUUGCUGCCUUUCUUGUGUGAGGGGCUCGAACCUGAAAAUACUCAGGGUGUGGCCUCACCAGAGCUGAGUACAGAGGGAGGAUCACCUCACUGCCUCUUCUGGCAACACAGUUUCUGAUACAAGCCAGGAUGCCACUGACUUUCUUAGCCACCUGAGCACACUGCUGGCUCGUGUUCAGCUGAGCAUUGAUCAACACCCCAAGAUCCUUUUCUUCUGUAAAGUCUUCCAGCCAAUCUGCCUGAAGCAUGUGGCACUGCCUGGGGUUGUUGUGGCCACAGUGCAGAACCCGGCACUUGGUCCUGUUGAACUUUAAUGCAGUUGGCCUCAGCCCAGUAAUCCAGCCUGUCCAGAUUCCCCUGAAGAGCCUUCCUACCCCCAGGCAGACUGCCACUUCCUCCCAACUGCUGUGUAGCAAACAACAAAAGCUCAGCCUAAGAAAUGUCAAUAACCUCCUGUGAAUGCUGAGGAUCCGGAGCCUUCCUUGGAGGUUUAAUCCGGAGACUGUUCAGGAGAUGCUGUUUUCCAGAAAAGACAGGCUUAAUCAUUAAGUCUUUGGGCCAGUGCUUCUUCUCAUGCUGAGGAAAGGUGAAAGGCAUGCCAUGAAGUUGCCCUGAUAGGUCCAGGUCCAUUUCUUUGGUGGGUAGAUGGAACUGCAGGAUCCAUAGCCUUGUGUGCAUGCAUGGCUUUGCUGAGUUCUGGCAUCACAAGGGUCUGGGAAUGCUGUAGGGUGAUGGCAGGUGUGGGGUGUUCACUGCCAGAACAGGGUAAAUUUGCACGUGGAAGAGGGGCUUGGGCUCCCACCUAGCCAGGCUUCUGUUACAUGCAUCUCCAUCAGGAGAACCGGGAGUCACUCUGAUACAAUAUGGGUAAAGCCAUUUAAUAGCAAAUACCCCUGAAUGUUGUGUAUGGGUUAUUUUACAUAGGAGUAACAUACACUGGCAGUUGAUAAUGUGUGUAUUGUAAGUGCCUCUUUUAAUAGGAUUUACUGAAUUCUACUGUGAAGUGUCACAGGACAACAUUAAGUUAUUUUUUAGCUCACUUGUCUCUACUUUGAACAAAUUCUGGUGUUUAGUGUCUGUUAGAUAGGCAGUAUAAUAGGUUUCAGCAUUAGGCUGCAUUGGGUGUGUAAGCUAAUAUUUGAGUCUUUUAGCUCUUCCUUCUAAGCUGCCAAGUGGUGGAAGAUACAGCUCAGAUGAGAGAAAACAAUUUAAACUUUCUCAGUGAACCAGUUUUGAGAAGAGUUUUUUCUUAAACGCAGAGCUUCAUGCUGGAGCAGUGUGAUUAAAAGCCUAUGGGGAUUCAAGUACUGGGAUGGUUUUAAGAAGAUCAAGGGACUGAAUGCAAUUUUCCUGCGAAUGAUAAUUAAAGAAACAGCAUCCUCAUUAGCAUAAUACAGUAAAUGAUAAAAAGGAUUGGACAGAUGCCUAAUCUUGCAAUGCUUCUUAAUUUACAAGUAUGUGUUUUAAAAAGAAAGCAAUUGAGGUCUGUUCUUCUUGGCAGGUCCUCUGAAUCACCAAAACUACUUCUUGCUUAACUUCACUUUUUUUCAGUGUUGUUUUUCUUGAGGACAACAAGUUAUGUAUUCCAGGACUCCAUCCAAAGCCUGUUAUGCUUCUAUAUGUAAUAGAGACAGAUCUAAUAGAGACGUAUGUGUGGUACUUUAGGGUUUCUAAGAUUGGAUGCCUACCAGAUAAAAUCACACAUCUGAGGAGAGUUUCUCAAUUGGAGUCAUAUGCAGCUCUAAACAAGUCCAAAUACAACUGUCACAAUAUGAAACACUUUUUUUGUUUAUUUUCUGAGGUCACCACUCUGAGUUGCUGAUGUGUGGGGUCAUGGAGAAAUAUCUGAGAGCCCUAUCAAGGAGUCAAGUUUUUUAGUAGAAUUCCUGAGUUGUUAAAACUAGAAAGCCUUUUUUUUUUUUUGGCCCUUAAUGCAAAUUGUGACUCAAAUGUGGCAAGGACUAAUAGUUGUCAUUUUAGUUGACGCUGUCACUUGUUACUUGUAUUCUGUUCUUGUCCAGUGUAAGCUGCAGUGGUGUGGUUCCUCUGUUUCAGUUUUUCAUCUUAGUUCUUUUUAUUCUUUGUCCUUUUAUCACCACAUUGAUAGGUUCCUAAAUGCUUUUAAUCAAAACUUCAUGUAGUCUCAGAAUCAUGUUGCCACCUACAAAUGUGAGUGGCUCAUCAGAUCUCAUUAGAUGUCCGCACAGCUUAAUGAGGGCUGGGUAUGUAGCAAGGGUGAUGUGUUUGCACUGCUCAGUGCACCCCAGUCUACUCCUCUCAGGGUCUCUUCUGAGACCCAUACAGUGCCCUGUGAAACAUCACUAUUACACUGUGUGCGUUUUUCCUCUUUGAAUCUUGUGAAAUAUGCUGAGCAUGAGAGUGCUUUUUACAAUGUGAAGCUGAGUGUCUGUGUUGUGGGCACACGGGGUCAGCAAGAAGUCAUGUUGAGAGUGCUAAAACUUGCUGGGGUGGUGAUGGAUAUCAGCGUUGGAAUGUGCUUGUGGGAGCCGAACCUGAUCUGGCCUUGUCCAUGGUGCUGCUGAGAGUGGUCCCUAGUGCAAGAGGUCCCCUGGGCCAUGCUGGGGCGUUGCCAGAGUACUUAAAGAAGUCAUAUCUUAAUUGGCAGUCCUCUUUGUCUUGUAAUGCUAGACUGUGCCUCUCUGAAAGACUGUAGGGGGAAUUGUGCUUUUAAUAAGGUUAAAUAUAUAGAGGAGAAAGUACUUUUUUAGGAAUGAAAAUGAUUUCUCAGUGGGAGCUGACUUCUGAAUUAUUCCACUUAAGACCCAGUGCAAGGUGGGAGCUGACUGCAAAUGGAUGCUGCAUUUUUCUAGCUGGGAGUAACCUUCCCUUUCCCAAAUCCUAGAGCCUCUGUCCAGAUGAGAGCUAGCAGGUGCUGCUGGGUGAAGGGGCUGUUCCUGCCAGAGCCAAGAGGUCGUCUGGCACACACACCUCCUACCAAAGCAGUAUUCUGUCCAUUUUAAAGCUAACUCAUUAUAAGUGCAAAUCCUUAGCGUUAGGCAAUAUAAAAUCUUCAGCAGGUGAAUCCACUGAACCACACUCCAGAAAAUCAAGAGUCCUUUCAACCCUCUGCUAGGUGGUCACUGUAGGUGAUAGUGUCUAUUUUAUUGCAGGUUGGGUUUCUGUUUGAUGUCAAGAAUUAAGAAACAAGGUGAGUGAUGUAAUGCUUUAGAGUAAAUAUUGAUAUGUUCAGAAGAUGUUAUGGUGGGAAACCUGCUCUUUUUAAAUCUCAAACUGUGAAGUCAUUUGGAGUCAGUGGCCCUCCUGUUUGAUUUUUUUCCAGUGUCUUAACACAUCAAGCUGGAGCUGAUCCCUUUAUAUCCUGCUAAUCUCUUAUAUAUGCUGAAGUAGUAACUGUGGAGCUAGAGGCUUCUGAUAGAUAAAAAGGAGCACUAUUGAUCUUGCUGAUACAGACACUUCCACACAGGGCUUUGAAGUUGUGAUCGUUCUGGAGAAGAAAUACAUCGAGUGAUGCAUGUUGGCCCCCAGCAAGGGUGAGAAUUUUGAAGAAAUGUUGCAUCUCAUGCAGCUUUAUAGUAGUCACAAACAAGUUAUUAAUGCUAAAGCACAAGAAUCCCUUACUGUUAGCUGGUCUGAAUACUGCUGGCACAUCAGCUGUGCCAAAUCCAGCACUGUAGUCUGUAGGUCUCUGCAGACUUUCUUGGUGUUUUCUUUACCUACAUCCUUGUUCUCUCUGUACUGUGCCUGCACAGUGCAGGAUGGCAGGGGACCCUUUCUCAUCCAAUUCAAGGACUUUGGGGGUAUGUUGGGACCCUGUGCUGGCAUUGCAUCUCACUUGCUUUCAGGGCUGAAAACGAUGCAGUCAGUGCAGCAAGGAGGCGCGUUGCCCCUCCAGCCGGGAUGUGGUAGGAGUGUGCUCACAGAUCUGGAUGCUUGGUUCUUCUCAUUUUUGUCUAGCCCAUGUUGCUGGAGAGCUUGUGGCUUGUGCAUGCUGUUUUCCUCGUGUUCAGGUUUUCUGGUAGUUUCUUAUUUCAUGGUAGUGUUACUCUUAUUUCUCUUGCAGAUCUUCAGCUAUCCAAUGAUUUUCUUCACUGUCUGAUUUACAUAUGUGCUAUUUACAUAUAACUAUUCUAAUCUCUACAGUCUGAGGUCAGUUGGUGGCUAAUGCAGAUGCUCUCAGAGGCUAAACUAACACUUAACAAAGCUAUUUAAUCUUUAAUUAUGAAGUUUGGAGGAGGGACAGUGACUCAUAAUUCUUAAAUUUCUUCUAGUUGUAAAAAAUCAUCAAAGCAAAUACAAGUAAGUAAAUUUGGGCAGGUUAUCUCUCCUGCUGAUAAUAAAUGGGAUCAUGAUCUGGCAUUUGUAGUUUUUAUUUCUCAUAGCAUUCAAAUAAUUCCUGUCUGAUUUUGUCUACUGAGGUUGUGUUGCAGUAACUGUCAGUGUUCCUCUGCUGGGAUCAAUCACUAAAGUAGCUGAGAACCAUUGAGUGUUUUUUUUUCUGGGAAACUUUUCUUCUUCUUAACUUUUUUCUGCAGUGUCUUCGUAUUACAUCACCAAGUACUGAGAUACUGUCCUUCAAAAUGAUUUUCUCUAUCAGAAGAGGAGAAAAACCAGUGUGCACACAAAAACCCCACAAACUUACCAGACUUAACUUGAUUGCUUAUGCCUUCUUGUCGACCCAAACAGUAUUCCCAAUAGGAAUAGUUAUGUAUAAAGAUUUCUCUGAAGGAUAGACUCAGACUGCUUCAUAAAUGAAUUUAACUUUUUUUAUUUUAAAUAAAAUCUCUGAAAUAUUCUUGAAGAAUAUAUUUGGAUGUUAAUGUAUAUUUUACUUGUGUUGAGAAUUUUAUGAACAGAGAACCUGUGUUUCCUUAAGCGUACAUCUUGUUUUAGAAUGUGUGUUUCUCAGUGUUCACUCAUAAGGGCAAUAUUAAUAUUUGAUGUAUUUAGAGAUCUGUGCCAUUAUAAAUUAGAAUAGAACACAGUGAACUGUGAACAUUUCAUGCUUCUAAAAGAAACCUGCAUUAUUCUAUUUUUGCUGUGAAUCCGUGUUCCACUCAUACUGAAUUUCAAAGACUACUCUGCUAAACUUUCCUAGGCAAUUGGCUUGGCAUCUGUUAAUUUAAUUCCCAUGUAACACUAACAGGAUAUAAAUUAGUGCUCUGGGGACUGCUGAUAAUACUCAGUGAAACUUUGAAAAGGGAUGGUGUUCCUAAUACUGCAAACAGUGGAGGAGGUAGGUAAAGUUUUAUGGGGAGGAGGGAGCAGGUGAAGGAGCUCAAGCUUUCCUCUCAUACCAGACUCUACCCAAAGUAUGAUGAAUUUCUUUGCGCUAAACUUAUUUUCCUCUGUCAUUUAGUUGAUAGAGAAUAAACUUACUGUGAGUGGAGAAAAAACAAGCAUUGAUUGUCGCUGUGGCUGUGACUGUCCCAGCAGUUCCUCCCUGUCCCUCCUGGUCUGGCUGUAUCCUAUACCCUGGGGGCUUUUUCAGCCCAGGUUUCCAACAGCCUCUCAGCUUUCCAGCCAAUUUCCUGUUUCUGUUUUCUUUUUAUCUUUCAGGCUAAAAAUCUGUGGGAAAUAUGUAACUUUUUUUGUCCUUUGCAAGAAUGACAGGGUUGCUUUUGACAACUAUUGAGUCUUAGACUCUUCCUUGCUUGACACACUUCCUUCCUCUUUUUUUCUCCAGCUUCUUUGCUUGAAAAAACGACUGUUUCCAAUUCCUUACUGCAUUCCUUACUGUUGAUCUGUACCAACCUCUUCCUCUGCCUCCCUUCUCUGAUCAAGAAAGUAGAAAGUGCUUGUCUUCACAUCUUUGCUAAAAACUGUAUAUUUGUUACAGAAUCAUUGUUGGCUGGUUUGCCUCUCAUCAACCCCCUCUGUGCCUCUUGCAGCAUUUUUGUUACACUUCAUUGCUAAAAUCUCCAGGGACUGUCAACUGAUAAAGUGAGGUGUCAGUGAUUAUUGUGGAUAAUGGUCUAAAAGAAAAACAAAUAACAAACUUCUUGUGUAAUAACAUUAGUGCUUCUUCAGUAACAAUGGGUCAGAUUUAACUUUGUUUUUUUCUAAUUUUGCAGAAAACUACUUGGAAAAGUUUUUAAAGAAAUUCUGUUUUUCUACCUUUUGAUAUAAGCCUUUCCUGGGAAUGCCUCAUCUCUUUUCAAAGAUGAAUAAUUUAAGUGAACUUUAUCAAUUGAUUUUUUUUUUUGCAUUUUGGGCUUUAAUGACUAAGCAUUCCAACAGAAUAUUGGGCACAAGCACAAAAGAGAACUGCUUGGUGCUUUGUUAUCUUCUCACACUUUCCACUGAGGCAGCACCAGCAAUUUACGGUGGUGUUAUACCUGAUUUGUAUAGUGUUCAGCUAUGGGUACCUGUCUUUGUUGCUUUGGAAUAGCAUGUUUUCAUGUGUAGUGCCUAAAGUAGGCUUUUAAAAUGCAGAAUAAUGAUGCAAAAUGUGACCUUCCACUCUGAGAACUAGGACUUAUCAAGAGGUUUACUGGCUUUUCCUAUCUUGCAUGUUGCAAGAUUGAUCCUGGGAUAUCUUGCCAGAAUUAGUCCUCCUUUAAGUCCUCUGCAAGUUUCAUAUGGAUGCCAUUUCUCCUUACCAUCAUCUUGUAUUCAUCAGUGAAAAUGAGUGUUCUUCAUAUCUUACAGUUGCAGUUUCAGAAUUUUUUUCUCUAAAUAUAUGAAUUUGCCAGAGGCUUCAAAGGCAUCUUGAAUUGAUUGGGAACACAGUCUUCAAAUAUGUACAAGUUGCAUAAUGUGGUCUGAGUGGAUUGAGGCUAUUGAAUCUUCAUUGUUUUAUCGUAUUGGUAAUACAGUCUGUUUCCUGAGGACUAUAAAAUCCUGAAGGAAUUUUAUUUCCUUCUUGUAAAUGUUCCUAAAGGAAUUUAGAUUUUGUCCUGGCUUGCUGGUUUCUAGCAAAGCAAAUGACAUUUGGAGUAAUUAUUACUGUUGCAGUAUCCUUUAAGCUGGACUGAACUGUGUUCCUGCAGAUCUCCUUAGCUAGUGGAGAUUUGAAAACUGCUGUGGCCAUUUGAUCAGCCAGGGGAGCUGCACUAAUUUUAGGGAAUAAAUGCACCUGUAGAUCUUUGACAGGACUGUGUCCUGAAGGAAGUGCAGGACAUACAGAUAUGAUGGUCCUUGAAUCUUUUCUAUUGGGUAUAAAAUUUCCCCUGAGCUGAAGCUGCCUGUUGCAGGACAUGGGGUUGCUUGCAUGUGAUCUGAGGGCAUUGUAAAAAAAAAAAAAAAUCUAUUUCCUGAGCACCUCUAAAUGCAUUGGGCAUCCAGCUGAGCUGUGAGUGGAUCUGGUCUGCUUUAUGACAUAUGCCUUUAUGACAAAAUAGGACAGAGCAAGUCAGAAAUUCCUCUUUGCCUUUGUGGAGUGAGCUUAAAGCUGUAAACAGUUUCUCUUCUCUGGAGAAGCUGACUGGUUUCUAUUGCCAGUGGUUUCCAUUCUCUGGGCCUUGCUGCUUAGUGUGCAAGCCCUGUCGUAUGCACCACUCCUUCAUCCAUAGUCACUAAGAGAUCAUCUCUCUUCUGUGAGUGCAAUUAAAUGUAUGGAUAUUAUCAUCAGAGUAAGGUGGAAGGUUUAUGCAGCCUUGUGUUGUUGCAGUAAUAAAAUAGCUGCUCUGUGAAACAGAUUCAGACUGUAAGAGGAGACUGUUGAGCAGUCAGCUUCCCACAUAUUUGGCAUAACUCAGCCUUCUGCUUCAUGGUAACUUUUAUAUUCUUAGAGCUCCUCCGGAGUGUUGCUCUGCUGAGUGGCCGGAGAGAACUGUCUGGGAUAUGUGGAAGAGUGAAUAUGAAAACAUCUGAUUAUGCACAAUAUGUAAUCCUCUUAUUAAAAUAUCAGCAGUAAGUGGAGCAUUGAUUUGUGUAUGCUACGGUCCUUUUAAUAUUUAGGAGAUGCUGCUAGCAUGGUGACUAAUGUCUCCUUUCCCGGAUACAUGAAGACAUUGAAUUAGCACAGCUUUAGCUCUUUAUUCUUGCUUCUAACUGAUCAUUUAGUAGGCUGCUGCUGGCAUGGCUAGGCUCUGCAGAUUGCAGGAGGGUGCCCAGAAUGACACACACCAUUACAAAAGCACUGGCCCUGCCUGCAGGGAAUUGUGCUGAAAUGAAUUAAAAAUAUCUGACUCGCUAAGGCUGAUGAAACUGAACCACUCUCACUGGUGAGCUGUUAGUGUCAGUGUCUUUGGGCAUGAUGAUAUGCCACAGCAGGUAUAAUGAGUAAAAUAGUAUCUAUUACAGGUGUUACAGGUCUAUCUUAACUAAUUUAAACUAAUUAUGUAAGAACCCUUGGCAGAAUCAACUGUGUCUUAAAAUGGUACUUAUCACUGUUUCAUUAAAUUAUGUAAGAAAACAUCAGUACAGUAUGACUGCAAGCAUGAUUUAAAGCUAAGUAGAAAUAUAGAAGGAAAGGCAUGAAACUAAGAGUAAGGAGAACAAUUGAGAGAAAACUGGAAGGAAACUAAGGGAUGAGUAGACAGAGAUAGGGUUUGGAGGGCUGAAGAGGAAGUAAAAUCCAGGAAACCAAGAGAAGGUUUCAAAGAGGUAGGGGAAAUGGUCCACGGUAUGUUAGAAAUAGGUACUGUUCAACACAGGCUUUACCUCACUGGUGUGCGUUGUAGACUCAUAAGAGAGCUGGAAGGCAUUUCAAGACAUCUUUUAUACUUCUCUUCCCCAGGGCAGGAUCAUGUGCAUGCUUGAAAAUGUUGCUGACCCAUUUUCGUGUGCACUGAAGAAAAUGCGUGGCACUCGUUAAUUGCAUGGGUACUUUUUUGGACUGGCUCUGCUCAGGCAUCUGGAAAUAUUUAAUUGAUACUAAGCAUGGCUGGAGGCUGAAUCUAGUUACUAGAACAGUCCCUUCAACUCCUGUAACUGUAUAAGUAGCUGUGUGUGCAUUAGAUACCAGUAACAGGAACGGGAAACCAGUCUUUCAGGAGAUUAUCUACACUGUUAGAUAUGAUUGAACUGUGAUUGUUGGUUUUUUUUAGGGAUGUCUUAGUUUUAGCAUCUGUAGAAAUGGCAAUAAUAUCUCUUGGUGUUUGGCAAUUCUGGUUCUCACCAGAGAUCUGUUACUGGUGAUUCAUGACCUUUUGCCAGGGCAGCUCCCAUCUUUGCUUCUGUUUGACUACUUGCCCUGUGUUUGAGUUACUGGCCCUUAAAGCUGGAAGUAGGGCAAAAAGCCCCAUGCUUGUAAAUGAGAGUUCUUAUGCGAAGUUACCAGUAUUUAUAAAGCUUUUCUUAAAUACAGCAUAUGCAUCAUGUCCAAGUAAGAAUGCCAGCCAAAAUAAGGGAAGAAGGAAUAAGCUUCUUAACUGACUGGAGUCAGACAACUUUGAGGAACUUAUUUGAAUAUUAGGUCCUCUAGUUCUCCCUCCUUUCUAAUUCAAGCAAUGGAGAAUUCUCUAUAGCUCACAGUUGGAAAUCCAAGGUGAUUCUGAAAAAAUGAAUCCCUUUCACGUACUGCUAUGACUGUAUGUGAAGUGACAUCUACCAAAAGUCAGAGCAGAAUUAGCACUGGUAUUUUUUUAAUUGAAGUUUUGAAGCCCAUAUAAUUAUGCUAAUGAUCACAAAAUCAUCAGUAGAAAUAAUGAAGCUUGGUUUCCAUUGGGUUUUCCUCACAAUUAGUUUACUUUUAAACUGGGUUAUACUAAACCUUCCUUUAUCAGAAGCCUCAUGCAGGAGGGCUGUAAUAGCUGGAGAAACAUCAGUCACAGCUGCACCCUGUUAGGCAACAGGCUGUCACCAUGAGAGAUAAACCUUGAUGAAGAGAUGAAUUCCUUGGUGCCUCAUAACAUCUUAUUUCAGUUAUAGCUUUCCCAUCAUUAAGGAAGAUCUCUUUCCCGUGGAGGCUUUCUGUUGUCAUAUGAAAUUAAAGCUUACUUUACAGCCUUCUUUCAGUCUGUCUUUAUAGAGCUCUCUUCUCCCUGCUCAUUGACUUGCACAGAACUUGUGAGAACUCAAUUUUUUUUUCCUUUAAAGUUUCUUGAAAUUAGCCAAGAAGUUACAAAGGGAGGCAUGGCACAUAUCCAUGCUCUGGUUAUUUAGGAUAUGCUCAUGUGUGCUGUUAGUUUACAUACUUCUGAGAGCUCAUUCCGUUUCUAAUGGCUAGAUCUGUGGUGGGGCGAGUGUUUAAUCCUUGUAUGUCUACUGCAUCAUUUUUAGAUUGCCCUCUGAAGUAUUGUGUUCAUGCUGUGAUCAGAGUCAGAGUUGAGAUGGGCCUUGCCUGAUCUGAUGACAACUGCUAUGAAAAAGGUUUUCAACUUUCUUUAUAGAAAGACAAUCCAAGUAUAAAAUACCAGCAGUGAGCAUCUGAGUAUGGUAAAUGGCAAGCAGAAAGUUAGUCCUUGUUGGCAGUGUCCUCCAAAAAGUUAGAGAUGAAUAUGUGUGGAGAAACGGGAAUAUUUCUGAACCUUGUGUUGUCUGAAGCCAUCUUCUGUGACAGGUUUUCAACUCUAGGAGGAUGUUCAUCUCUAAGGCCUCAAUCUAGUAGACCCUACAAACAGCCAAUUGGUUUACAUUUAAAAAAUCCUGGUUUCUAUUUGAUGCUAAAAAAAAAAAACCAAAACCACCAAACAACAAAACAUUAGCCAGUUGGGCUUUCUCUUCCUGAGAGUUGUUAUUCUGUAGUGGGAAUUAUAUGUACUGAUAUCAGAGGAAAACCGCUUCUGAUGGUCAUCUUAGCUUGUUGCUUUGUAGUAGACAGUUGUGUUACUUGGAUGCUGUCAUAUUAGACAAAUGAUGAUUAAGCAUGCUUCAGAAAUAGUCAUUUUAGCUUGCAAGUCAGUGCUGAUGUUUUUCUAGAUGCUGUGAUUACAAAAACCCUUUAAAUUGUGUCUCACCUGUGUCACAUUUCACAAGUUCUUACCAGGUGAAUAAAGCCUUUUAGUUCUUCUAGUGCUGUUGCUGCUGCUUGUGUGUUUCUUGGGGUCGUAGAGGUUUUGUCUAAUUUCAUACUUACAUGGUUCUUCAGGGCAUAUUCCUUUUUGGUUUUAUUAACCAAAAACAAAGUUUUUGUAAGGUUUUUCUGUGUUACUGCUGUGUGAACUUACGAGGUUUGUUGGUAUUUGUCACCAGUUUCUCCCUAGGAAGAGGUUAAAUUGGGCAUCCUCUCCUUUGCCAACUUGAUGAUCUUUGUACAAGACAGGAGCUCAGGGUAGGUCAGCAGGUGUAAGAGCAUUCUUUGCUUCAAAACUGUACUGGAAUAUAAGUGUUAUGUUUAUCCAUGCUUACAAGGAGAUUCUUAGCUAGACCUAUCAAGUGUUUAUUCUGAGAAAAAUAAGGUACUCAAGACAGCUCUUUUUCUUGCUAGGAGGUAGAAAUCACAAAUGCCUAACAGGCUUUUAGCGGUUAGAAUAAUCAGCAACCAAACUCUAGAGUAUAGGAAAUCCUAUUUGUGAGUAGCCCUCAACUCAUAAAACAGUUUUGCAAAGUAAAAGCACAAGAAUAAAUUGUAUUAGCAUAACAUAGAAACCAGACUCCAGUUCACCUUUAUUUCAACAAGUUUAGGUGUUGAAUCUCCAGUGAAGUAUUAUGUAUCAGGGGAGGCAUACUAUUUGCUUUUUGUUGUUCUCUAGCCACAAAUAGCUCAUAAUAACUUGUGUUCAGUUAAAAGAAGCCCAUCUGUUACAGUUCUGGUUUUCUUAUCCAUCAUUUUAAAGGUAAACACUAAGCCAUAAAUACUUCAACAAUGUUCUCCCCUUCAACAAAGAAAAUGUGAUUAAAUGUUCACCUUAUUAUGAAAGCCCUGCAGAGCACACGUGUGUAGGAAUGAAAUCAUGAGCAGCUGCUUUAUGCAAAAUUAUUUUCAAUAAACUGCCAAAAAAAUUCUCAUUUCACAUUUACCUUCUUUUCAAGCUUACCUUCUUUCAGAUCAGAGGGAAAAGUAGCCAAUUGCACGCUGUGAAUUUUUCAGACAAACCUUUGACUGCACUUGUCCCUGUGCACCUUAUGUGUGUUUAGUGGGUAUGAAAUCUCUAAUUUAAGCUACAGCAAGUUGCUGGAGCACUACCACCGAUGUCAUGAGAUGUUGUUUCUUGUCUACUGAAACAACGUAAUCAGAACAAUGAAUAAUAUUUUUUAAAAAGCUUUUACCUGGAAAACAGCAGGAGAUGUGCCUAGAAGGUGUUUCUAGGCACAAACUGCUGAUAGGUAGGCAUUGUUGCAGUUGUUUGCAUCAAAUUUAAGUUCCCCUUUUGUUUCUGCUGUCACACUGUUCUUUUUUAAUCUUUCUGAACCUCAGGUUUUCCUCCUUCAGCAAUAUCUCAAGAGCCAUUUAUUUUAGGGUUUCAAGUAUUGCUGCCAUGACAAACAUGCUAUUUCUUGCAGAUUUUUUUUGGUGUAACAGAGAUGAAUGGAGAAGGAAACAGUAGGAUUUCUGCAAACAACUAUAGUACUAUGAUGAACUGUGGGUUUGUCUGUGUUAAGAGACAAAGAGCAGUGUCAGGCCCUUGGGAGCUGCUCAAAGAUAAAUGUUCCAACUAGCUUUCUCCCAGUGACUUUUCAAGUUUGUUUUGGGAGCUCAGGGCAUCCAGUUAGGUGGUUUGCUUGCAGCCAUGUCUUUCAGUUGUACCUUGGGAGGUGGCCUCAUCCUUGGGAAGCUCUCUGGGCAUGUCUGAUUUUAUAAGGAUGUGGAUGUAGUCUGAGAGUUCCUCAUGCAACCUGAGCUAAUAGUGCUGACUGCUGGUGAGAAGACAGCAGUUCUCCUGCAGGGGUUCACAAUCCUGUAGGUGCUCUUCCACAGCUUGAAGUAGUUGUGAUGUUGGUGGAGAUAGGCAACAAUGUGGUGGCAUGGCUCCUCUGCUCCAUUGCCUAAUGUGUGUCCUUAAGGAAGCUGUAGGCUGUGAUGAGGCUUCCCCUCAGGGCUGAAUGAACCAAAGGACCUCAGCCACCCUCCAAGCACCUUGUGUGCUCUAAACCCUUCCCCAUCUUCAUAGCCCUCCUUUGGAUGCUCUUUAAUAGCUUUAUGUCCUUCUUAUUUUGUGGCACCCAAACUUGCAACCUGCGCUUGAGAUAAGGCUGCACAACACAGAGCAGGGUGAUCACUUCCCUCAGCUGGUAACAGUGCUUUAUUUCCCUCAAUCGAUUUUUAUCUCCACCUUUUUUUUCUCCCUCUCAGAUUUUCUUAUGCCCCCCUUCCCAGUCUGGAGUCUAAUUGAACUCUGAGGGUCCCUGCCUGUCUCAGUAUCAUCCAUGCUGUGGAUUAUCUCAGGGUUGUCCUGUCAUGCCAGCAGCCAAAGACCUUGGUUCCUUGGGACUGAUAGCUCCCAGAGGAGGUGUUGGCUUAUCAUCCCUGUCUGAAUAAGCUUCAGAAAGCAAGGCUUUUAGUCUUUCCCAGUGCCGGUGCAGUGAGCUGAGAUCAUUUUUCCUUCUAAAACUGGAAGACAAACUUUGCUGUUUAGGAGAAGGAAACAAAAGGUUAUUAAAUGAUGGCAGCUGGGCAAAACAGUACUUUGCUAUUGUAUUUGUGCAGAUAAGUUGCAUAAGAGACAGGUAAAAGCUCUAUUUGUCCCCAUGUGCACUGGUCAGAGCAGUAGUGGAGAGGUGAGGUGGCUGCCUGGGUACCUCAGAUUGAUGCUUUGGUGAUAUUUUCUGAGCUGAAGCAGCAGGGUUUUCCUGCCAGCACAGUGGGAUCUGCAAGCAGCAGCUUCCCAGCUUGAUUCUGGGAGCAGCACCAAACUCCACAGCACGCAGCAAGCUGGUUUUGUGCUUGGUCGGAAGUAGGCUGAUAUGAUGCAGUCCUCCAAGCACCUGACAGAGAGAAAAUCUGUUCGAGAAGGAUGUUUCCCAUGUGAGGUUCAGAGCCUGGGAUGACUUUCCUGCCAGCAUGCUUGGUGAGUCUGCAGCUCAGCUACUGCCUUUGGUGAAAUUGCGGGAGAAGGGAAAUCACUGCCAUUCACCAGCAGCACCCUGAGCCAGCUCAUCCUUCUAGCUAUUUCUGUCUGCACUUAUCUAUAGCAUCAUCCUCCUUGUGCCUGUGUACCUGCCAAGCAUUCAGAACAGGCAUGGCUGUGGCAGCCUCCUCAUUUCUCUCCAGCCUGAAGGAUAAAUAACUGGAUUGCUUUUUAAAAUUCUUUUCCUGCAUCAAGAAUUUAUAGCAAGAAAGCCUGAGCAAUGCUUUCAGGAACAGGUGGACAGGUGGAUACAGCCCUGCUCCUUCUUAGCCCCUAGGGAGAUAUCUCUUCGGACGUGAUGUUUUCCUGGAGUGAGAUAUGGUCUUGGGUAACAAUAGCAUACCCAGAGUUGGUGAGAGAGAAGACCUGGAUCUAACUUGCUUGCAAAGGGACCUGGAGCAGAAAGCUGCAUGCUUGGGUGGUGAGUUCAUGUAGCUGGCUUGUAGACUGCAGCGCAUUAUUUUCUUCUGUGCUACAAACUGAGUUUUUUGAUGUAUAAGACAACAGUACCAAAAAUUCUCGCAUCUAUAUACCUUCUAUAUGUUAUAUGUUGUUUGUGUGCUCUGAGGUUUUGUGUAGUUUGGACAGUGAAGUAGACCACUCUGAGUUGAGCACGACUACAACUAUGGUUUGUAGUUUCGUUCCCAGCUGGGAAUCUCAUUGUUCACCUCUGAAGUUGUGCAAAUGUGCAGACUUACAGGAUGUAUGUGUUGUGUUUGAGUCUCAGUUACAACAUUGGUUUGAGCCAGUGAGCCACUGUGAGAAUUGGGAUUAAAGCAUGUCCUCUUCCACCUUCCGCUAUUCAGGUGUAUGACUUCAGAGGCAACGAGGCAAUGGUUAUGUGUAUGUUUAUAACAUACUGCUUCUGAUCCUUAAAAUACAAGCUAUAGGCAUAGUGAGAUUUUCUCUUAAAUUAUCAAGUUCUGAAGACAAAAAUUGCUUUCUAUUUUUAAAUAACAAAGCUGUGUUUCAGUGUGCAGCUGUCAGGACUUCUCACAUUUUUUUCCUAUCCUUCUACUGGUUGAAACUGUCAUUGUAACAUUUGAAAUAAAACUUGGAUUUAGGGGAUUUAGGCAACCUAUAUUGAUAUGUUUGCCAAAUCUGUGACUUAUGUAGGGAUUCCUAUGGAAAUACCUACAUUGGAAGCUCUCUUGAUGAGAAAGGUACUCUACAUAGUGUUUCUUUCAGUAUUUGUCUGUUGCAUAGAGUUAAAUUUUGCAAACCAAUAGUUGUAAAAUAACUUUAAAACAUCAAUAUUUUUAAACACUUCCACAACAAUGUAAGAGUAUUUGUAGUUGGCUCCUGCCCUGAUGAAGCAUAUGGGCUCAGAUGGCUGUGGUCUGGAUGAUGCUCCUGGCCAAAAGCUGAGUUUUCAGCUUUCUGGCUAGAUGCCUACAGGGUGUUAAACCUGUGAGACCCAUGGAAGAGUGUGUUUUGUCCUGGUGGUUUGAAGUUAUCUGUCUUGAGAUGAGUCAGGUAGAUUUGAAUUGAUGCAUGUGAAGUUUUUUAAUAUGUAAGUGUAAGUUUUACUUUUCUCCCAAAACUGUAAGCACAGAUAGGUACCUCUUAUACAUUUCUAUCAAUCGAUGAGAAUGGCAGGAGGUAAGGAGUCAUUCUGCUGUCUAAAAGUAGAGCUAGUUAUUCAGGCUUCUGCCAACUCCAGGGGAGGGGUGCUCAGCUCAUCUCAUGUAACUGCUCUGGAGGAGCUUUGUCCCCUUUGGGUAUGUGAUGUCUAUGCAGUUAAACAGCUUCAUUCCCCAGCUCAGUCUCAUGUCUUGAUCUCCCAGUCCAGUAGGCUGGAUGCAUGUUAUAUGCUUCUCAUGUUUGUCUUCUGAAGCAAUCUAAUUACCUCCCUCUGGGACAAAAUAUGUGGCAGCUUUGAGGAUACCUUACUGGAAGACUCAGGCAUGAUACCAAAGCAGGUCUGGCUUCCCACAGUGUCCUCCAGUGGUACCCUAGUGGAAGGGUUACCCAACAUACUCAGAUGCCUAUGCCUUGAUCUAGGACAUGAAAUGUGGCAUUUACACAGUUAAAAUAAAAGCACAAAUAAAAUACUGCCCUGGUGAGCUACAACACAGACCUUACAUUGGGCAAUUUUGAAUGGAGAGAUGAAGCAGUUGCUAUGUAGCACCUUGUUGUGGGCAUGGGUCUUAACGUGAAUGUUGCUAGGCUAGAUCUGUGGGUGCUUUAGGACAUGGAAUCUGUCCAUAGCAUCUGUUUUUGGAAGGGUGUCUAUUGGUGAGGGAAGUGCUUACCCAUGAAGUUGAACUUGAUGCAUUUCAGGCAGCUGAUGGAUGGAGCAGAUCUUACCUGGUGUGCCUUGCACAAGGUCACUCAGCAGCUGAGUGCCAAUGCUGGAUGCAAAAGCCUGAUUCAUGUUGUUCCCUAGGACACACCAUCUCUCCAGCAUCCGUACAUGCCUGCUUUGUGCUGUCCUCGUUCUUGUGUGAUUUGUGAAAUGCCUGGUAAAAAGCCAGAUGCCUUCGUGCCUCCCAGUGGAUCUAACUGAGAAGUGCUUAGCACCAAGGCUAUGGGAGGAUUUGAAAUCAGCAGCACCUGUGGGAUAAAAGAGAAAAACAAGGGGAGAACAGUUAUGUUCCUAGACUUUGCAAAAGAAAAAAAGAACCACAGCUGAGACCCAGCUGUGCAGCCAAGUUGUCAGGUACCUGGUGUUGUUAGAGAGGUCGCAGUGGCCCUAACCAAUCCUUUACAAGCUACUAAACCACACAUUUGUGAACACAGCUACACCAUGCUCCUUUUCAUUCCAGUUCCUAUGGAAACAUGAUGUAAGAAUGCCUAAAAUAGGUACAGUGCUUUGAAAUUAUUAUUUUGAUCUUUUUCCCCCCAGAUUUCCUUCAUUAACUUCUAACACAUUAAAAAGGUCAUUGUUAUCCACCAUCAGUGGUGUUCUACCCUGGUUACCCAGGUUUCUGCAUCCUGGUACCUAAUUUCUAUAUGCAGACUAUCAGUACUCCCUUUCCCCCAACCUCCCUCCCCAUCAGUGAGGCUGUGGGUGUAAGUGUUAAACAUAUACAUUACAAAUGCACACUAAACUGAUCUUGGAUCCAGCUCCAUCUCUUCUCAAGCAAAUGAGAAAUGUAUGGCUCUUUGCAGCAACAGGUGAAGGUACAAGCUUUACCCUACUCCUAUUGGGAUCAUGGCAUAGUGUUGGCUGGGAGGAAGUGCUGGAGGUCAUCUGGUCCAGCAGCCCAUAGAAGCAAACCUAUCCUCAGUGGUGGUGAUGGAGAUGGUGGACUGCUGGAUGGGGGCAUCCUAUGAGUCCCCCCUGCCUUUCUGGGAGGGACAAUGCUGGAGGAGGCCGUGGGUUCUUGAAAACGAAAUUUCUUUGCCCACAAAGAUGUGCACUCUAAUAAAUGGAAAGAGGACAGUGCCUUUUAAGGUGUGUUCCCACAGUCUUCCUGUGUUUUAUUUCCUUGCAUGUGUUGCAAAGCCAUCAUGUCUUCGAGCAGUCUCCUUGACCUAAGUCUAGGAUUUUUCAAAAUAGCCAAGUCCUGUUUUCAAAAGCCUUUGAUGGGAGAGCCUUAGGAGAGCUAGUGCUAAAUCCAGCAAAGGACUAAAAAGCCUUGUUUAAAACCAAGACCUAAUUUUUAACGCUUCUAGGUUUCUGAUGUCUUGCAGUACUGUGCCCUGGAACCUGGUGUAAGGCCCCAGACAAGGGCUAGAGUCUUGCCCAUGGUGUGUAAGGACAAGCAGGCAGUUGCUCAGAAAAGUGAUUGAGAACUUUUUGGGUAGUACCAAAGCAUGUUGCCCCUGUGUUCUGAAUACAUUUCCCUGUUUCUUUUGCCACUCCCUGCUGCAUCCUGAAGCUGGGAUUGAAUAAAAGGGAGUUAAUAUUGGAGCAGUAUUUUUCCUGACUGCACAUCCUGGACAAAAUGUAUUAGAGUCAUGGGUGUAGCUGAAACUCCACUUCAGUAUUAAACUGUUUCAUCCAUUUGAGAAAUGCAGAUACCUAUUUGAAUCUUAGUCCAAAACAUCAGGCCACAUUGUGCUCAAGGAUGCAUUUGUGUAACCCAUGGAGAGCAAACUGUAGUUGUACAUCGUGUUUAGCUUUGCUGUGUGCUUAGUCUUUGCAUGAUGUUUUACAUGCUUGUGGCAAGUAUAUGUGGUGUUACCGUUGUUUUUGGUGUAAGGCAAAGGGCCAGUACAAGCCAGAAUAAAACUUUCCUGGUUUCAGGGUUGUUGUCAUAGUGGAGUUGAACCAUUUGUUAGCAAAGCAGAUAAACUGAGAUGUAAAUGCUGAUCUAAAAAAUGUAUUCUGGAUCUUGGCAUUUGCAUUUCUUGUCUGCUAAAGUUCUUCCUUGAUUUGAAUAACAGUUGUUGGCUACAGAACUAAAACCGAUGCCAGAAGAGAUCAAAAUCAUGGACUCUGGAGCAGCUGUGGAUUGUAAAGAGAAACUGCUUUGUUCUAACAUGGAAAUGCAGGGGUGAAAUUUUGCUUUUGAAAUCUCUUCUCUUAACUGCUCUGGAGCUGGGCCAAUGUAGAUGUAACCUUUAUAACCUAAUUGAUAAGUUCGCGCAUAGCCGCAGUAUGUAGGUCAUUCACAUUUAUCCUGAAUAGCCUGGAAAUUAGUACAGAGACAUUGCCUUUCAUCCCUUCCAUUGUAGCUGAUCUCUGCACCACUCUUCCUCGUUCAUCUGUGCACAUUUAUAAUGAAAAAAGACCUGCAAGAUACCUUCUAAUAUUCAUAAAUAACUAAGAAAUGAAAUAAACAGUUACAAGAGCCCUUGAGUGAGGGACAGUUGGAUAAUAGCUAAUUCAGACCAUAGCCAUGUAGUUAAGUUGUAAAUUGUCCUCUUAAGAUCUUUUAUCUUGAGAGUAAUGGCCUUAUGAGAAAUUACAGGUGGUUCAAUAAAGGAAAAUCAUAGUAAAUUAAGUAUUUUUAGAGGUAACAUUUGCGUGAUUACAGUGUUAGAGUCCCUGUAUUGAAAUGUUUCAAUACUGGAAUACCUUAUUGUGUUUUACAGCUCCCUGAAAGGAGGUCGUGGCGAGGUGGGGUUUGAUCUCUUCUGCUGGGUAACAGCUGUAGGACAAGAGGGGAAGGCCUCAAUUUGCACCAGUGGAGAUUCAGGUUGGAUAUUAGGAAAAGCUUUUCAGAAAGUGGUUGGGUACUGGAAAAGGCUGCCCAGGGAGGUGGUGGUGUCACCAUGACUGAAGGUGCUCAAGAAAUGUGUAGAUGUGGUACUUAGGGACAUAGUUUAGUGAGCAAUAUUGGUGGUAAGUGGACAGCUGGGCUAGAUGAUCUUAAAGGUCUUUUCCAACCUUAAUCAUUCUAUGAUUUUGUAGCCACCUGGUCCUGCCUUUGCAUCAAGUUUUCUGAGCCUGUGGUGCUGUCAGACGUGCUGAAAGUGAUGUGAACCACAAAGAUGCUCUGUCAGACUUCUAAAUGAGGCGUACAGUUCUUUAGGUUCCCGCGGGAAUUCUCAUUGAAUUUGGUCACUAAUGAUGAUCUACAAAUACAAAAAUCAAUUGAAUUCUAUGGUAGCGCUGGGUUGGGAGACAGUGCAAUCUCUGGUGAGGACAGAAGUGAACUAGGGAACUAAAAAUACCAAUUACCUAUCUAAACAAACAGGUCUGAAAAUAUUUAAACAGUAGUACAACACUGUCCAAGUUGAAGCCUUUAGUG
rnacentral:lncRNA from 1 species